rnacentral:rRNA from 1 species
UUUAAUAAAUACAGUCUUUUUCCGUGCCGGACUGUGUCCAAGUCCCUUGGAACAGGGUAUCAAAGAGGGUGAUAAUCCCGUACUUGACACAAUGACCGGUGCUCUGUGAUACGUCUUCUACGAGUCGAGUUGUUUGGGAAUGCAGCUCAAAAUGGGUGGUGAGUUCCAUCUAAAGCUAAAUAUUGGCGAGAGACCGAUAGCGAACAAGUACCGUGAGGGAAAGAUGAAAAGCACUUUGGAAAGAGAGUUAAACAGUACGUGAAAUUGUUAAAAGGGAAACGAUUGAAGUCAGUCGUGACUGAGAGGCUCAGCCGGUUCUGCCGGUGUAUUCCCCUCAGUCGGGUCAACAUCAGUUUUGUUCGGUGGAUAAGGGCAGUUGGAAGGUGGCACCCUCGGGUGUGUUAUAGCCAGCUGUCGCAUACAUCGGAUGAGACUGAGGAAUGCAGCUCGCCUUUAUGGCCGGGGUUCGCCCACGUUCGAGCUUAGGAUGUUGACAUAAUGGCUUUAAACGACC